GUCCUAUAGAUCUAUGGAUUUGAACUGUCUUCAUCAUCACACCUCGAAAUGCUUGAUAAGACAAGCUGUUGCUUUCUCAUCUGAAGAUCCCCUUACAGAAGGACAACAAAUGACAUGAUUUUGGACUUCAAUGGGAAACUGUGGGAAAUCCCAGACAGCACUCCAACUCCAACUUCCACUGAUCUUCAUAGAAGAUAAUCAUUGCUGACUCUGUUACUGCUUGGGCUGUAAAAUCACUGUCAUUAUAAAUGGAAAAGCUAAUCCUAAUCUGAAGGAAGGUUUUAAGAAUAUUUUCCACAAGAAGUAAAUCUGUAGAGGUUUGUGCUUAAAUGUUAUGAAGGUG
rnacentral:lncRNA from 1 species